AUACAUGGCUCUAUAUUGAUAUACACAUAUAAAUGCAUACAUAAACACAUGUAUGUCUAUUUUUACAUGUGUUAUGUAUGCAUAUCUAUGUCUAUAUUGGAAUGCAUAGGUGCCUAA
rnacentral:precursor_RNA from 15 species